UCAGCUUCUAGGGAAGAGACCGUCA
rnacentral:piRNA from 1 species